AUGCUCGUUUUGGCAGCACAUAUACUAAAAUUGGAAUGAUACAGAGAUUAGCAUGGCCCCUGUUCUAGGAUGAAGCACAAAUUCAUGAAUCAUUUCAUAUUUUU
ensembl:snRNA U6 U6 spliceosomal RNA